GACGAACGCUGGCGGCGUGCUUAACACAUGCAAGUCGAACGGAAAGGCCCUGCUUUUGUGGGGUGCUCGAGUGGCGAACGGGUGAGUAACACGUGAGUAACCUGCCCUUGACUUUGGGAUAACUUCAGGAAACUGGGGCUAAUACCGGAUAGGAGCUCCUGCUGCAUGGUGGGGGUUGGAAAGUUUCGGCGGUUGGGGAUGGACUCGCGGCUUAUCAGCUUGUUGGUGGGGUAGUGGCUUACCAAGGCUUUGACGGGUAGCCGGCCUGAGAGGGUGACCGGCCACAUUGGGACUGAGAUACGGCCCAGACUCCUACGGGAGGCAGCAGUGGGGAAUAUUGCACAAUGGGCGGAAGCCUGAUGCAGCAACGCCGCGUGCGGGAUGACGGCCUUCGGGUUGUAAACCGCUUUCGCCUGUGACGAAGCGUGAGUGACGGUAAUGGGUAAAGAAGCACCGGCUAACUACGUGCCAGCAGCCGCGGUGAUACGUAGGGUGCGAGCGUUGUCCGGAUUUAUUGGGCGUAAAGGGCUCGUAGGUGGUUGAUCGCGUCGGAAGUGUAAUCUUGGGGCUUAACCCUGAGCGUGCUUUCGAUACGGGUUGACUUGAGGAAGGUAGGGGAGAAUGGAAUUCCUGGUGGAGCGGUGGAAUGCGCAGAUAUCAGGAGGAACACCAGUGGCGAAGGCGGUUCUCUGGGCCUUUCCUGACGCUGAGGAGCGAAAGCGUGGGGAGCGAACAGGCUUAGAUACCCUGGUAGUCCACGCUGUAAACGGUGGGUACUAGGUGUGGGGUACAUUCCACGGGUUCCGUGCCGUAGCUAACGCUUUAAGUACCCCGCCUGGGGAGUACGGCCGCAAGGCUAAAACUCAAAGGAAUUGACGGGGCCCCGCACAAGCGGCGGAGCAUGCGGAUUAAUUCGAUGCAACGCGUAGAACCUUACCUGGGUUUGACAUGGAUCGGGAGUGCUCAGAGAUGGGUGUGCCUCUUUUGGGGUCGGUUCACAGGUGGUGCAUGGCUGUCGUCAGCUCGUGUCGUGAGAUGUUGGGUUAAGUCCCGCAACGAGCGCAACCCUUGUUCACUGUUGCCAGCACGUUAUGGUGGGGACUCAGUGGAGACCGCCGGGGUCAACUCGGAGGAAGGUGGGGAUGACGUCAAGUCAUCAUGCCCCUUAUGUCCAGGGCUUCACGCAUGCUACAAUGGCUGGUACAGAGAGUGGCGAGCCUGUGAGGGUGAGCGAAUCUCGGAAAGCCGGUCUCAGUACGGAUUGGGGUCUGCAACUCGACCUCAUGAAGUCGGAGUCGCUAGUAAUCGCAGAUCAGCAACGCUGCGGUGAAUACGUUCCCGGG
rnacentral:rRNA from 1 species